rnacentral:rRNA from 1 species
GAUGAACGCUAGCUACAGGCUUAACACAUGCAAGUCGAGGGGCAGCAUGGUCUUAGCUUGCUAAGGCCGAUGGCGGCCGGCGCACGGGUGAGUAACACGUAUCCAACCUGCCGUCUACUCUUGGACAGCCUUCUGAAAGGAAGAUUAAUACAAGAUGGCAUCAUGAGUCCGCAUGUUCACAUGAUUAAAGGUAUUCCGGUAGACGAUGGGGAUGCGUUCCAUUAGAUAGUAGGCGGGGUAACGGCCCACCUAGUCUUCGAUGGAUAGGGGUUCUGAGAGGAAGGUCCCCCACAAUGGAACUGAGACACGGUCCAAACUCAUACGGGAGGCAGCAGUGAGGAAUAUUGGUCAAUGGGCGAGAGCCUGAACCAGCCAAGUAGCGUGAAGGAAGACUGCCAUAUGGAUUGUAAACUUCUUUUAUAAAGGAAUAAAGUCGGGUAGGGAUACCCGUUUGCAUGUACUUUAUGAAUAAGGAUCGGCUAACUCCGUG